UACGGGGGGGGCAAGCGUUGUUCGGAAUUACUGGGCGUAAAGGGCUCGUAGGCGGCCAACUAAGUCGGACGUGAAAUCCCUCGGCUUAACCGGGGAACUGCGUCCGAUACUGGAUGGCUUGAGUUCGGGAGAGGGAUGCGGAAUUCCAGGUGUAGCGGUGAAAUGCGUAGAUAUCUGGAGGAACACCGGUGGCGAAGGCGGCAUCCUGGACCGGCAUUGACGCUGAGGCGCGAAAGCUAGGGGAGCAAACGGG
rnacentral:rRNA from 1 species